rnacentral:rRNA from 1 species
GACGAACGCUGGCGGCGUGCUUAACACAUGCAAGUCGAACGGAAAGGCCCCUUUGGGGUUACUCGAGUGGCGAACGGGUGCGUAACACGUGAGUAACCUGCCCUUUACUUCGGGAUAACUUCAGUAAACUGGGGCUAAUACCGGAUAGGAAUCCUUGCUGCAUGGUGGGGGUUGGAAAGCUUUGGCGGUUUUGGAUGGACUCGCGGCUUAUCAGCUUGUUGGUGGGGUAGUGGCUUACCAAGGCUCUGACGGGUAGCCGGCCUGAGAGGGCGACCGGCCACAUUGGGACUGAGAUACGGCCCAGACUCCUACGGGAGGCAGCAGGGGGGAAGAUUGCACAAUGGGCGGAAGCCUGAUGCAGCAACGCCGCGUGCGGGAUGACGGCCUUCGGGUUGUAAACCGCUUUCAGCAGGGGCGAAGCUUGUGGUGACGGUACCUGCAGAAGAAGCACCGGCUAACUACGUG